AGGAUGAACGCUGGCGGUGUGCCUAAUACAUGCAAGUCGAGCGGUAAGGUCCCUUCGGGGAUACACGAGCGGCGGACGGCUGAGUAACACGUAGGAACGUACCCCAAAGUGAGGGAUAAGCACCAGAAAUGGUGUCUAAUACCGCAUGUGCUCUAAGGAGUAAAGCUUUACGCGCUUUGGGAACGGCCUGCGCAUGAUUAGCUUGUUGGUGAGGUAAAAGCUCACCAAGGCGACGAUCAUUAGUUGGUCUGAGAGGAUGAUCAGCCAGACUGGGACUGAGACACGGCCCAGACUCCUACGGGAGGCAGCAGUAGGGAAUUUCCACAAUGGGCGAAAGCCUGAUGGAGCAACACCGCGUGCAGGAUGAAGGCCUUCGGGUUGUAAACUGCUUUAUAAGUGAAGAUUAUGACGGUAACUUAUAGAAUAAGGAUCGCUAACUCCGUGCCAGCAGCCGC
rnacentral:rRNA from 1 species